rnacentral:sRNA from 1 species
CAACAAGCAGGAAACAGCUCCCUUCAUUCACAAACACGGUGCAACAAAAGACGAACUGAUAUCAGCGACAACAAACAGGAACGGACGCUUGUUUUAUAUAAAAUCACCACAACAACACGGAGCCGCGGCCACACUCAACCGUCUUUACAUUUUAUUAUAGUUUCAUGCAUACUUUUUGAGCCUUCAAAAUGCGCUUUAGUAUGCUAGAAUAUUUCCGUAUUGCUUCCAAGAUAGGAACAAUUUCUUGCUGGGAUAUGGUGCCCCUGGCCCAAAAGUGGUCUUCCAGGCUGGCUUGCUGUCAUCUGAGCCAUUGUUGCGCUACUGGUGGGAACGGAGUUACCCACUCCUAAUGACUGUCUGGUAGCUUCGACAAUAUCAAGCGACUCAUCGUUCUAGCCUGGUCUCUCUCAAAAUCGACACGGGCUAGACCGACGGCAGAACUGAUUAUUAGGCGCAUGGCAACACUUAGAGCCGGGUCUGCUGGAGGUACCGGAACGUCAAGGCCAGUCAGUGGGCUAAAAGUCGGUGAAGAUAUAUGCCCCUGCGAGCCAAAAAUGCUGUUCAACAAUCGAUACAGGUCAUCCAUGCCAGUGGUAGUAGCGGAGCAACUGACGAAAACGCCAAUGCGAUUGGUGCAUUGCUAGCUGCCGUUGUAGUUGUUGUUGUUGUUUUGAUUUGCGUAGUGAGAAUUUCCAGGUUGCGUGAGUUCGUGAAACAAAAAGAAAAUUACAGAGGAUAUCUAGAAGGACGUAUACGGACAAGCAAGGAGCAACACUGCGCAGUCACACAACGCGGUGGAAAAAAGCCACGAUCGUUGGGGCUGCGCUAAGUCUGGCUCUACACCUGAGAAAAUACCCACAUGGGGUAAGGUAGGUCCACACUAAAAAAUUUCCAUUUUAGGCUAUUGUAUUGUACGUACUGAUAAAAAGAAUUUACUUAAAUCGACUGAAACUGAUCCGAUAAUGUACCCGCGGCUACCACACUUCCAAGACGAUAACCUUGAUCAAGCGGGACCACUUCGUACACUUCCGACCAGGUUACCACGUCUUUCAUGAGAACAAAACAACAACAAAAUUAAAUUAUCGGUCUAUUGUAAUAAAGAUUGAUUUGGAAAUAUCCACAAAUCUCUGCCCUUCGGAAAAGUAAUUAGCCUGCCAUUACUGAGCAACAGCUAAGACUCCCGAAGCGUAAAUUUACUGAUAAUCGAGCCUUCCAUAAAGACUAACCAAUUCACGUCUUGUCUACAGCGAGCAACGCGGUAAGGCCUCUUAAGUAUACUUUACCGGGACUACACUUUUGACAAAACACGAAAACGGAGUAACCAAAUGGAAGUUAGGACUAUUGCAAAAAGUUUCGGCCCCACGUUGGGCGCCAUUCUGUUACCUGCACGGUUCAUUAUUCUUGGCUGAUAUUUACCGUAGUCGGCGAUUGCCGGUAUGCUAGCGUUUAGCGCGGCUAUUGCUCGUCGGAUGGGGGUUGGUUCUUGCCAACAACCUGGUCAUGUGCUGCCACUAUAACAAAAAAAAAACAAAAUCAUACCGUACUUCACAAACAAGGAUUCAAAAAAAAAAAGCGAGCCCGAAACAUGUAGGAAAAGGAAAACACCAAACCGAAACAGGAUCACGAACUCACACGCACAAUCACAAACACUCACCCACAAGGAACCCAUGAGCUCCUAUACCUUGAUGCCUCUUUUCAUAUUUUGGGCAUCCCAACUUCGGCAUAAAUACAAAAUAAUAAUAUCUUAAACUUCGACAAUGGCAUCUCCAGUUUUCCUUUGAUCGGUCAUCGUCUGGUCCCCUUUCUCCGCUGAAGUAAGGAUCUCGAACUGCUUCGGCUGGGCUGCCGCUGAUGUCUGUCCGCGUAUAAGUAACCGUUCGUAGUUCGUUCUUUACUCUUUUCAGGCGGGACAAGAUGAUAUCCGCCCAGUGGGCAAAACUCCCUGAUCAACGUUUUGAGGACCUACCCGGAUUAGAGCUCUGAUCCUAGUGCACACGGUUCCUCUAUACUGGAACUCACUCAAUUUAAAUUGGGACAAAUAACCCUAUAUUUAAAAAUAUAUUUAUAUAUGUGUAAGUGUUAUUCUGUAAUAAACACAUUUAUCUUAAUAGGUUGUCCGUUGUGGUCCGAAGUUCGGAAUUACCCCUGCAACCCGUGGAGGUUGCAAGCAUCAUCCAAUCUUCCACGUAGAUUGAAGCGGCAAUGGUGUCUGGAUGUGGCUGAUGAUUGACGAAGUGUAUCUUGGAUAUUCUUGAUUUUGUUGUAAUUAGUAUAUUUAUUCAGUUUAAGCUUCACUUAGUUUGUAACUUUUAGCUUUAUUUUUUUGAAAGUUUUAGCUUUAUUUAGGUUGUAAGUUUCAGUUUCUAUUUAGUUAGUAAGUUCUUAGUCUUGAUUAGACUGUAACUUCCAGGUUUAUUUAGCUCGUAGUUUUUAGGUUAUUGUUUUAAGUGCUUAGGUAUGUUCAGUUUUUAGGUAGGUUUGUAGUUUUCUUUUAGGUAUAUUCAGAUUGUAGUAUUCUUUUAGGAUAUUUAACAUGUAAUAUUUAGGAUUAUUUGCAUGCAAUGUUUUUCUUCAUAAGAUAAAUUUUUUUCCAGCUUGAAUUCAAAACAAAUAAAAACCAAAUUUUUGCUUUUUUUCA